CGGGUGAGUAACACGUGAGCAACCUGCCCUAGGCUUUGGGAUAACCCCGGGAAACCGGGGCUAAUACCGAAUAUUCACUUGCGGACGCAUGUUUGUGGGUGGAAAGUUUUUCGGCUUGGGAUGGGCUCGCGGCCUAUCAGCUUGUUGGUGGGGUGAUGGCCUACCAAGGCGACGACGGGUAGCCGGCCUGAGAGGGCGACCGGCCACACUGGGACUGAGACACAUAUCAAGACUCAUACGGGAGGCAGCAGUGGGGAAUAUUGCACAAUGGGCGGAAGCCUGAUGCAGCGACGCCGCGUGAGGGAUGACGGCCUUCGGGUUGUAAACCUCUUUCAGCAGGGACGAAGCGCGAGUGACGGUACCUGCAGAAGAAGCGCCGGCCAACUACGUGCCAGCAGCCGCGGUAAGACGUAGGGCGCGAGCGUUGUCCGGAUUUAUUGGGCGUAAAGAGCUCGUAGGCGGCUUGUCGCGUCGACUGUGAAAACCCGUGGCUCAACUGCGGGCCUGCAGUCGAUACGGGCAGGCUAGAGUUCGGUAGGGGAGACUGGAAUUCCUGGUGUAGCGGUGAAAUGCGCAGAUAUCAGGAGGAACACCGGUGGCGAAGGCCGGAUAUCUAGGCCGAUACUGACGCUGAGGAGCGAAAGCGUGGGGAGCGAACAGGAUUAGAUACCCUGGUAGUCCACGCUGUAAACGUUGGGCGCUAGGUGUGGGGGGCCUCUCCGGUUCUCUGUGCCGCAGCUAACGCAUUAAGCGCCCCGCCUGGGGAGUACGGCCGCAAGGCUAAAACUCAAGGAUUGACGGGGGCCCGCA
rnacentral:rRNA from 2 species